CGUCUUAAAAGCAGAAGAGUAAACCUAUUUUUAUAGAGAGGGUGAUAGAUGGUGAAGCGUUAAGGAAUAUUUGGAAGGAUGGAAGGCCUACAGUUGGUGCACAUUUUUUCCUCUCCAAAGUGAAAAACGAGGACUUGGGAAUCUUUGAAAUCCCUCUUCAAUGUCAACGAGUUUAAACCACAAGCAAUGAUGAGAAAACCUCUCGGUAAAACAUAGAUAUACAAGUCAAAAAAAUGGAGAUUCAUAGCAGUUUCAUGAUGAUGAUAGACUGUGUUCUCCCUGGUCGACGUUUCAGAACUGGUUACAUGAAAUUAUUUUACUUUCACGAUGAAAUAGAGAAACUGAAAUAACUGAUUUUCCUUUGCCAGUCUUUUAGUUUUAGUACGUUGAGAUUCAAGUACCAUAUAUAUAUAUAUUUGCCAUUGUAAUUGAGUUUGUAUCGUCACAGUAAAUGCUUUUAAUCUUAUGGUUUGAAAACGUAAAGCUCACGAUUUGAAAAAGAGAACACAUUUCUCACGUGUCAGCGUUGUGAGUUUACUCCUGUUUCAAAUGUGCGGUUGUUUUGACAUUGAGUAACUAGUGUUAAUACUACUGCAUCUUGCGUUCUGAUGAUUUCGAUGUCAUACGAUAG